rnacentral:rRNA from 1 species
AACGAACGCUGGCGGCGCGCCUAACACAUGCAAGUCGCACGGCUCCUUCGGGGGCAGUGGCGGACGGGUGAGUAACGCGUGGGAACCUGCCCUGGAGUUCGGAACAACCGUGGGAAACUGCGGCUAAUACCGAAUACGCCCCGAGGGGGAAAGGAGCGAUCUGCUCCGGGAUGGGCCCGCGUCCGAUUAGCUAGUUGGUGAGGUAACGGCUCACCAAGGCUGCGAUCGGUAGCUGGUUUGAGAGAAUGAUCAGCCACACUGGGACUGAGACACGGCCCAGACUCCUACGGGAGGCAGCAGUGGGGAAUCUUGGACAAUGGGCGCAAGCCUGAUCCAGCGACGCCGCGUGGGUGAUGAAGGCCUUCGGGUUGUAAAGCCCUUUUCCCGGGGACGAUGAUGACGGUACCCGGGGAAUAAGCACCGGCUAACUCCGUGC